rnacentral:rRNA from 1 species
CCUACGGGAGGCAGCAGUGAGGAAUAUUGGUCAAUGGACGAGAGUCUGAACCAGCCAAGUAGCGUGAAGGAUGACUGCCCUAUGGGUUGUAAACUUCUUUUAUAUGGGAAUAAAAUGUUCCACGUGUGGGAUUUUGUAUGUACCAUAUGAAUAAGGAUAGGCUAACUCCGUGCCAGCAGCCGCGGUAAUACGGAGGAUCCGAGCGUUAUCCGGUUUUAUUGGGUUUAAAGGGAGCGUAGGUGGAUUGUUAAGUCAGUUGUGAAAGUUUGCGGCUCAACCGUAAAAUUGCAGUUGAAACUGGCAGUCUUGAGUACAGUAGAGGUGGGCGGAAUUCGUGGUGUAGCGGUGAAAUGCUUAGAUAUCACGAAGAACUCCGAUUGCGAAGGCAGUUCACUGGACUGCAACUGACACUGAGGCUCGAAAGUGUGGGUAUCAAACAGGAUUAGAUACCCCGGUAGUC